CCUACGGGUGGCAGCAGUGAGGAAUAUUGGUCAAUGGACGAGAGCCUGAACCAGCCAAGUAGCGUGAAGGAUGACUGCCCUAUGGGUUGUAAACUUCUUUUAUAAGGGAAUAAAGUGACCCACGUGUGGGAUUUUGUAUGUACCUUAUGAAUAAGGAUCGGCUAAUUCCGUGCCAGCAGCCGCGGUAAUACGGAGGAUCCGAGCGUUAUCCGGAUUUAUUGGGUUUAAAGGGAGCGUAGGUGGGUUGUUAAGUCAGUUGUGAAAGUUUGCGGCUCAACCGUAAAAUUGCAGUUGAAACUGGCAGUCUUGAGUACAGUAGGGGUAGGCGGAAUUCGUGGUGUAGCGGUGAAAUGCUUAGAUAUCACGAAGAACUCCGAUUGCGAAGGCAGCUUACUGGACUGCGACUGACACUGAGGCUCGAAAGUGUGGGUAUCAAACAGGAUUAGAUACCCGGGUAGUC
rnacentral:rRNA from 1 species